ensembl:lncRNA
UUUUUCUUUUUUUUUUCUUUUUUUUCCUUGCAAAAACCCUCAGCUCACCCAAGGGCCAAUGGAAAUUUAUUAAUUUUUUUUGUCCUUUUCCAUCUUUCACCAAGUGGCUUUUCCUUGCAAAAUGCCUGACAUGACACCAGAGGGGAACCUGGGAGCGGGGGGGCACCCCAAGGGGCAGCCCAGGGACUUAAAUACAAGCUGGAGGGCAGGGCACAGGUGGGACAGGCAAGAGACAGCACGAGGGACAUGGCUGCUCAGGGAGACCAAAGACUUGCUUUCCUGCAAGAAGCAGCUGUGCCAGAGGGCAGGGGACUAGGAUCCUGGGUGCAGAGUGGAUAAGCAGAGAGGCCCCCAACCCCGGAUGGAACCCAUAUUCCCCAGAGAAGUAGCGGCAGGGGAUGAGGGCCUUCCCUGGUGGGCUCCAGAGACCCAGGGGAGAGUGAGCCAGAUGUGCUGCCUCGGGGAAGGGGAGGAGGUGCUAGCAGAGGGUUAAGGCUGGUGCCCAGCCUCUGGCACAGUGGGCCUUCCGCCUCUGCCUGACGUGGGGACAAAGGGGCACACUGGGCAGGCAGCGCAUGGGUCUGUCUCUGGAAGGGCAGAGGGCGGCAGGAGCAGACUCCCUCCAGGCUCAAGACACAAGCCCAGUGCGGCUACCCACCCACCCAUCCUAGAUAUACUCAGACCCCACCGCAGCUGGACGGCUCGAGCUGGGAGUGUGGGGAGGGGAAAGGAGGCAGUGGGGAGAGGAAAGGGUGGGCUGCUGGGCCCCUGUGGUCUCCAUGCCUGUCCUGAGGUCCAGCCCAGGGCCCUGGAUCCCAGGUCCUGGAUCCCCUGGCCACUCUCCUGGCCCUGGGCACUGACUGCAGCCAGGGCAGUAGAGGCCGGGGAGACCUCAGCUCUUGGGCAGAAGGAGAGCAGGAAGAAGGGGAAGGAGAGAAACCCAGUGCAGCAUACAUGGGGGUGGAAGGGAGACCGACAGAAGAGCCCUGGUUCCAAAGAAAGGUGUGUAGGGGGGCAUCUUGGAAAGUCACCUAGAGGCAGCAGCAGAGCAGGCCCCUGCCCUGCCUGACCACAGGUCCUGAGUGUCCUCCCUUAGGGACUCUGACAGAACUGGGGCUCAGGGCAGCAGGCAGAUGGGCCAGAGGGAGAUGGGGAGCCCAGGACACCCCAAAGCCACAGACUCAAAUGCCUCAGGAGAGGGAGAGGGAGGCACCUCCUGCCCCCUCCAGGGACAUCAUCUGGAGAAGGUGCCCCAUCCUGUCCCACUCCAUGUGCCCCUCCUAGCAACAGCCACCACCAGCCGGCUUUACAGGGGUGCUGUCGAUCUUGAGAUUGGGCCGCUCGCCCCCGGAGGCUGCUCCGGGCCCCAUCGCUUUUUGAUCUCGGCAGCCAUGGUCAUGAAUGCCUGCUCGACAUUGGUGGCGUUCUUGGCACUUGUCUCCAAGAAGGGGAUGCCCAGAGAGUCCGCAAACUCCUUGGCUGUGGUGUUGUCCACCACCUUCUUCGUGGUGAGGUCUCUCUUGUUGCCCACCAGGAGCUUAUUAACGUUCUCACUGGCGUAGCGGUCAAUCUCCUGCAGCCACUGCUUCACGUUGGCAUAGGACUCCUGGUCAGUGACGUCAUACACCACGAUGAUGCCAUGAGCCCCCCGGUAGUAGCUGGAAGUGAUGGUCCGGAACCGUUCCUGGCCCGCUGUGUCCCAGAUC